CUCCUUUCUUUCUCUUUCUCAAUCUCAUUCUCUAACUAUUAUAUGAUCCUCCCUAAUAUAUUCAUUCAUCCUAUUAUCAAGCUUGUGUUUCCGUCUUUCUCGCAUUUUUUUUAUAGAAACGUGCGCUGCAGUUCGCACAUUACGUAAUCAGAAAGCGAUUUCUAUACCUGAAUAGAACAAGGUACUUGAUCAUGCCCAUUAUUUGAAUUCUUGAAAGUCCUUGCGUCGUGUUUUGUAACGCAUUUCAAGUUCUCACUCUAAAACCUAGCUCAGAUGAAG